CUUCCCGGCCACCGCACCUCGCUCGGGCCGCCGCGGGUGCCCGGGGCUCGGGCCAACACAAUGCACCCGGGCCUAGGCCGGGGCGGCUCGAACACAUAACCUCGGGACUUUCUAGUAAACAGCUCGCCGUGCCCUCGUCCCCACCCCCAUCCCCGCUGCCGGGCUUUCGCCGCCGCCCCUCGCCGACACCCCCUCCUUCCCUCCUAAGAAAUCCCGGCGGAGGAGGGAGCCGCGAGGCAUGAAGAAAAGCCAGACCAAAACAGUUCUCACAGCGCAGCCGGUGGUCACAAAGAACAGCCCAUGGAGAUGUCUGUCACUGAAAGAGCAGCCUCUGGAAGAGAACCAAAGAGGAAAAGAGCGAUGGAGUGAAGCUUGAUAAAAUAGUUGGAAUCGUUCAUCAGUGAAGCAAAGCUGGCUUCUGAGUCACGCAGAGCUGAAUCAUGGGCUUUUAGAUUGAGAAAGGCCAUUGGAACCCAUCUGGUUGAGUAAAUGAUCUCUACUUCAU